UAUAGACUAAGUGACCAUUAUGAUAUAAAGGUGUAACAUGAAAAUUCACAAAGGUAUGUGAAUUGUCUGAUAUAAAGUGGAUUAAGAGUCAUAAAGUAAUAUCCUAUAAUGAUAAACAAAAGUAUAGAAAUAUGUGAAAGGAAAUGUGUUUGGCAAAAUGAUAAAUAUUGAAAUGAAAACCUUUGAAACUAUAAGGCAUUAUACGAAUAAAACCAUAAAUGUGCGAAUGAGCAAAUGCGACGAAUAAGAAAUAAAUGAUAUAAUCUGAACACGUGUGCCCCUAUAUGGAUUAUAUGUGUAUUCUGAAUCGGACAAUAUGAAAUAUGACGUGAUGUGAUGGAAAUAUGAACUGAAUAAUCGUGCAUUACAAUAAGCUGUGUGAUAUGAAAUGUGAUACGAUUAGAAAUGUGAACUCUGUGAGAACUAUGUGUGUGCUCUAAAUGAGCUAUGUGUACUUGAAGAUGAAGUGUAUAAUACGUGAUGUGAUGCGAUAUGAGUUGGAUAUGUAUGUUCUGAACGGGGCAUUUGUGUGCUCGAGAUCUAGCUAUAUGCAUGUGAAAUGUGAUAUGAUUGAUAUGUGUGCCCAAGUGAGGGCAAUAAAUGGCUCAUCGAGACCUAUGUAGAAAUUAUUAGGCAAUGUUUGCUACCUUGAAUAAAUAAGCUUAAGUGUAGAGAUGUUAUUUAGUAAUCGCUAUAUCUGAUGAUAUUUAAUGAUGCAUAGGAAUGUAUAGAAUUAUAUGAUGUUUUCGGAUGAAGUGAUAUAUGUGAAUGCGUGCCCUAAAUGGGUUAUACGGUGCUCAAAAAUGAAUUAUUAGCAUAUAGUGUGAUAUGAUGAGAAAUUUGUGCGCUACAUGUGAUAAAGGAGCGUGUUCAAAGUUAAGUCAUAUGAGAUGACAUAUGAUAUGAUUGAAAGUAACAAAUUCAUAUGAAUUAUAUGCUUGAAACGAACUAUGAGAAAGCGAAAAUAUUUAUGAUCGAUACAUGAUGGGAUUCGAAAAUAAAUAUGGUUGUUGAUGAAUGUUAACUUGUUAUUUGAACUUUGUUGUGAAUUGUUGGGUUGAUGUGAUAAUCUAUUAUUAAUAUUGUAUCUUAUUGGUUUUUGGGCAUGCAGUAGUUAUAGAGGAAAUGCUGCCCAAAUUUUGACAGAAGUUCAUAAGAUAAAUUAAUACGAAGUUGUGAUAAUAAAAUGAAAGGAGAGAAUGUAUGAUGUGUUGUGAAUGAUAAUGAAUGGAAACGUAAUGAAAAUAUUAUGAUGAUAUAUGGAAAAUGAAAUGCACCAUCUUAUGGGCUAUAUGCGCCCGAAUAAGGGCUAUAUGGUAUAUGAUGAGUAUGUGAAUUAUACAUAUAUGUGAUGAAUAUGAUAUGUACGCCCCAUGUGGGCAAAGAAAAGAUGCAAAUAACAUGGAAAUUACUAUGUAAAGAAAUGAUAAUGUGACAUGAUGGAACCAAUAUUAUCAAUAUGAUAUAUUAGGGUGAAAUAUGAACUUAUGUGGCAUUAUAUGUGAAAGUUGGAUAAUGUGAUUAUAAGUGCGAUUUUGUGACUUGAUGUGGAGAAAUGAGGAUACGCUACGAAUAGGAAAUGACGUUAUGCCAUGAAAUGGCUUAAGAGAAACCAUGACGCUUCUAGGAGUAAUAAAAUUCGAUGGAAUUUCGAGGACGAAAUUCUUUUUAGGGGGGUUGAGUUGUAAUGCCCCAAAACCCACCUUAGACGGAAAAGUGAAUUUUCGGUGCUGUAAAUCGUCGAAAUUAGGGUUUUCGGCGAAUAAUUCAAAAUAAAUAACAAAAUAAAUUCUGAUAAUUCGAUAAAUCAUGGAAUACUGAAAUACAAGUCUUAAAUAAGUGUUAGAAAAGAUAUGUGAGCAAAGAAUUGAGUUUUAAUGAAUUUUAGAACGUUUUUUAGAAAAGUCGCCGAUUAGAGUUUUUCGGCGAAUUUGCCGAGAAAUAUUAGGAAUUUCCAUUGGAAAAUAAUUUAUAUGGAAUCUAGAGAUCAAAAGAAGUAUAAUAUAAGUAAUAUUGUGCAAGAAAUUAAAAUUUAAUCGAUGUUCGUAUAGAGAAUUCGAUAGAAGGGUAUUUCGGUCUUUUUACAUUAAUUAAAUCAAUUCUUUCUCUUUAUUUGGAAAGUGCCGAUUUUUACUCAUCAACUAGGAAUGAAAUGGCUGCAAAUUUUAUUUUAAAUAUUAGAGAGAAGUCUAGAGACAAGGCUUUACAAGUAGUUUAACUAAAUGUUGCCAAAUGUCUCCAUUUUUAGCCAUGGAAAAAUACUAAUGUUGGGAGACUAAAAACAUGAGAUAUCAUCUUUCUUCCUCAUUCUUCUCCUCUACAAAAAAAAAUCGGCAGCCACCUCUCUCAAAUCACCAUGGCUAUUUCCUCUCACAUUUUCUUAAGUUUAUCGGCGAAUCGAACAUGUAAUCGCGUAAACGUUAAGAAAUCAAGCGAAGGAUCCUAUAGCGUGUUUUGAACACAAAAGGAAUGGACCUAGAAGAUAGCGAAGGGUAGGAAGGUGAAAUAGGCUUAUAUUCAUAAGCCUGUGAGAUGAGAUGGUCGGAUUCUGUAGUUUGGAUAUUGCUACUGGGCUUUCGAGCUCACUCCCCCUCUUUUCCCCCCCUGGAGGUUGGAGUUGAUCUUAUGUCAGUGAUGUUGCGCAGCUUUGCAUCUUUGGUGGUUCGCACGCACUCUAACAGUCGGAACGAGGAAUUCUUACGGAAAUCAUAAGCUUUUGAGCAUCCUGUAGCAAAACAAAACUGACAACAUGUUGAAGAGAGGAUCACCUUACAAGAGCCAACCAACUCAAAACACAGGUAGAAAGAGGGCGCCAGUCAAAUUCGAUGACGAUGAGGAGUUCGCUUGUGUUGUAUUUCCUUUUUUUAAUUUGUUGUAAUAUGAUGGAAACAGAAAAUAAUGAAUGAGCUGUAACCUAGUUUUUGAAAACAAUGAAUGCUUUUGAAACUGUUACCUAUUAACUAAGGUUUUUUGGAUGUAAAA